rnacentral:rRNA from 5 species
ACAACUUUCAGCAACGGAUCUCUUGGCUCUCGCAUCGAUGAAGAACGCAGCGAAAUGCGAUAAGUAAUGUGAAUUGCAGAAUUCAGUGAAUCAUCGAAUCUUUGAACGCACCUUGCGCCCUUUGGUAUUCCGAAGGGCAUGCCUGUUUGAGUGUCAUUAA